ensembl:lncRNA novel transcript
GCCAUUCUCCUGCCUCAGCCUCCCGAGUAGCUGGGACUACAGGCGCCCGCCAUCACGCCCGGCUAAUUUUGUGUAUUUUUUAGUAGAGACGGGGUUUCACCGUGUUAGCCAGGAUGGUCUCGAUCUCCUGACCUCGUGAUCCGCCCGCCUCGGCCUCCCAAAGUGCUGGGAUUACAGUCUGGAGCCACCGCGCCCGGCCCUGAGAUGUCUCCAAGUGGUGGUGAGACAUCAUCAAAUCCUAAGAAACAAUAUACUUGAAGAUUUUUCACUCACUGCAUCAAAGACAAGAAUGAGGCAGAUGAAAACCAUACGCAAAAACACAACAAAUAGAAAAGAGAUUCCACCAAAAGCAAUCAUCAAGAAAAUGUCUCCAGUGAGAUUCCCAUUGUUGUGAAGGGGCGUGUAAGUAUAUUUGCACUCAGACAGCUUCAGAAGUGCUUGCCUGAUGAAAAGGACUCACCAAGAGCUGAAGAGUUUGGCAUCACAGUCCAAGUGGUUCCUUGUUGGCAAUGGCCAUUGUCAUCAUAAGGCUGGAUUUAACUUCAGAAGUACUGCAUGCCAUCUGGCUCCAAAGAGCAAAUCUAUUUUUAUAAUAUCAAAUUUGCAAUAAGGGAAAACUACAAACAUGCUCAGAGUUGGAUGAGCUUCCAUUUUUAACAUGACUGACUUUCACCAGUCUUCCUGGGGGCCCCAAACUGGGUGGGCUCUUUUCCUCUGCUCCAGGCCUUAUCUGUGUUAGGUUGUAUGAUUAGGAUCCUAAAGUCACUGAACAAACAGGGUAGGAGUCUCCAUAACAGACCUUUUGUUCAUAUACAUUUCACUGGCUUUCGCUGGAGAAGUCAGAGAAUGGCUAUCAUCUCCACACUAAUAAUAUCCUUCAGUAAAUGAUAAAGUCAAGUCCAAAGUAAACUGAGAAGCUUUAUCAGCAUGUCAAAGCUAUCCCCUUACAGCUCUGUACUUGCCAACUGUGCAUCCUUUUCCGAGACAAAGACUUGAUGCACAUUAAAAGGCACUUACCAGAGUGGGUGUUUGUUUGCCAAAGGAGAGCAGGCUGCCCUCUGAUUCCAGGCACCCCGGUCGUCACUCUCAUCAGAGGAAGGGAGGUAUACUUUACAGCUAGACUCCUUCCUUGAUGAUCUCCUGAAUCGAGUCAGGGGGAGAUUCAGAGCUUCCUGCCAAGUUAUUCCUUCUCUUUCUCCUUGUUAAUAUUAACUGAUGGACUUCUCAGAGGGACAGUGUAUUUCUCACUGUGAGUAGAGAGAACGCUGUGGUCGACCAGUUACUCUUCCACCCUGUUGUCAGAGAAGAUGCAUCAAAAGGGAUUUACACACCCAGUUAAUUCUAACAGAUGGCCCUUCCCCGGUAUUCUGAGAGAAGUUGAAAAUCAAUCCACAUUUCUCUCCAAUUCCAAAUUAGGCAAAUUAGCACACUGGCCUUGAUUUUUGGUAAGCAGAUUUAGCAAAAUGGACACAGUGAAAAAGAGGAAAGAUGUAAAAAAUUUAGAAAGGCCUAUCUCACUUAAAAUGCUGUGCCUCUGCCCAUACGUUUGAUAUACAAAUGAUGCUUAUCUAUAAAGCAGUGAAAACACUCAUCA